rnacentral:rRNA from 1 species
UACGUAGGUGGCAAGCGUUGUCCGGAUUUACUGGGCGUAAAGAGCGCGCAGGCGGUCGAUCAAGUCGCGUGUGAAAGCCCCCGGCUCAACUGGGGAGGGUCACGCGAUACUGAUCGACUCGAAGGCAGGAGAGGGUAGUGGAAUUCCCCGGUGUAGUGGUGAAAUGCGUAGAUAUCGGGAGGAACACCAGUGGCGAAGGCGACUACCUGGCCUGUUCUUGACGCUGAGGCGCGAAAGCUAGGGGAGCAAACGGGG